UAGUUUUGGAAAGAUCUAUUGGUUAGGUGAGAACUUCUUCCAGUUGCUGGCUUGUCCUCCUCCUCCUCCUUACACAUCCCCUAGAACCUAUGAGGCAUCUGGAGGUGGUGCUCUAUGCUGUGUCUAUGCUCGCUGUUACAUUAAUUUAAAUAAAUUGUGCAAAUAAAAAAAAAAUAGAAAAAGAAAAAAAACAAACCCCUAAACCCUUCAUUCUGUGCAAAAAUAAAUCAAAAGAUUGGAGUUUCCAAUCCAGUUUUUUGUCCAAUGAGGUAAAAGCUGUUGUGUAAUGGCCUGUCCCUUUCUUCUCUCUGAAGGUCCCAACCCCAUGUGUCCCACUUGUCUGGAUUAAAAUUUGAAGUCUGGCAGUCUGGUUCUUUUCAUAGCUCCAGAGGAUUUUUGGGAGCAUGGGAUGCAUGGACCUGUUGACCCACAAAACUCUGGAGAAUGUUGGCUGUGGAUAAAAACAUCUGGAAGUUUCUACCAUCUUUUUACCCUGUUUUUCCUGGAUCAACCUGUGUCGUUUGUGGUCUUGCCCUGAGGAUUAUAGCAUACAGUCACUUACUGGAAUACCUUUCCAUGCAUCUUCUUGAAAUGGAGCCACUGCUUUACCCAGCUGGAAGAUAUUUUCUCUUCUCCCAGAGCUUUUCCAGUGCAGCAACACUCCUGUCCAUCAGGUCUCAGUUGACUGCAAAAAGGAGAAGAGUGUGUCAAAGGGAGGUCAGAUCCUGCCAGGGUUUCCUGGGAAAUGAGGUGUAUUCACUGUUUGGAUGAUGAAGCUUGAUGAGCUGCAAUUCAGCUUGGAUUACAGUAUUUCAGGAGACUUUCUGAACUUGCCAGGCAACCCUCCCCCUCGACUUUGGGGACAGAGGAACUUAAAUUUAUAUUUUCAGUGUCACACAAGGAGAUAGUAUGGAGCUGGCUGCUUUACACAAGUAAUGAAAAUCGAUGCUGUGUUGCUCUUGGAAGGAGUGCUCAAAAGGAGAAAAGCCUGGCAUAUACAUCUUGGUUUAGAGACAGAUUUUACCUGGGAAGAAUGUGUCCAGGAGAAGGAGAAGAGGUGAUGCUAAAAGCCAGCUUCCUGACCUCCAGACUGGAACUGAAGCUCUGUAACAAGGUAAAAAAAACCAAACACAAAACUUUUUCUUUCCUUUCUACCUCAUUGAAAUAUCCAUCAGACAAGAAGUGAGAUGAGUAAUGAGUCCAUGCAUUGAGUAGUUUCUCCUACUGUCCCCAGUCUCUGUCCUGUUCCCUGGCCACUUCCCGUGUCCUGCAUCACCCAUGCCUUGAGCAGGCUUAAUGUAAAAAUCAUCAGCAAAUCUCAACUGCCUUUAGUUGUCCACAUAUCUAAGACUUAAUUUUUCAAGCAUCUGUGCUCGCACACACACACAUUAAAUGUGUUGUUUCUGGAGGACACUUCCGCCUUUAUGCCUGAAGAACUUGCUGCUCUGUUGUUGGCAGUGAGGAUGAGGAGUCCCUCACUGUUUGCACUGCACUCUUUGCAGCUCCAGAGGAGGACAGUGAUUCUACAUUUUCCAAACUGAUGACAUACAGAGAGAGCUGAAAUGUAUGGGUUUUCGCAUUGCUUUUGUGCAAAGACACAAGAGGAGAAAGGCAGAAAAUAGAGCAAAAUUACCUGUUUCCAAUUUACUACUUUCAGAUAACUGAAAAACAUUGAUUGUGAAAAAGAAAGUUGAAGCUUGAUUUAGUUUUUAGCUUCUUUCCUGCUGCAAAUGGUUUUCCUUAUAAACGUGCAUGGGUCCUCCCAUGUUGG
ensembl:lncRNA